rnacentral:rRNA from 1 species
CCUACGGGCGGCAGCAGUGAGGAAUAUUGGUCAAUGGGCGCUAGCCUGAACCAGCCAAGUAGCGUGAAGGAUGACUGCCCUAUGGGUUGUAAACUUCUUUUAUAAAGGAAUAAAGUGAGUCACGUGUGCCUUUUUGUAUGUACUUUAUGAAUAAGGAUCGGCUAACGCCGUGCCAGCAGCCGCGGUAAUACGGAGGAUCCGAGCGUUAUCCGGGUUUAUUGGGUUUACAGGGAGCGUAGUUGGGUUGUUAAGUCAGUUGAGAAAUUUUGCGGCUCAACCGUAAAAUUGCAAUUGAUACUGGCAGUCGUGAGUACAGUGGAGGUAGGCGGAAUGCGUGGUGUAGCGGUGAAAUGCUUAGAUAUCACGAAGAACUCCGAUUGCGAAGGCAGCUUACUAAACUGCCACUGACAUUGAUGCUCGAAAGUGUGGGUAUCAAACAGGAUUAGAUACCCGAGUAGUC